UACAGAGGUCUCAAGCGUUGUUCGGAUUCAUUGGGCGUAAAGGGUGCGUAGGCGGCUCGGUAAGUCGGGUGUGAAAUCUCGGAGCUUAACUCCGAAACUGCAUUCAAUACUGCGGUGCUUGAGGACUGGAGAGGAGACUGGAAUUCAUGGUGUAGCAGUGAAAUGCGUAGAGAUCAUGAGGAAGACCAGUGGCGAAGGCAGGUCUCUGGGCCAUUACUGACACUGAGAAGCGAAAGCAUGGGGAGCGAACAGG
rnacentral:rRNA from 1 species